rnacentral:misc_RNA from 1 species
GAAAUGCGAUAAGUAAUGUGAAUUGCAGAAUUCAGUGAAUCAUCGAAUCUUUGAACGCACAUUGCGCUCGCCAGUAUUCUGGCGAGCAUGCCUGUUCGAGCGUCAUUUCAACCAUCAAGCUCUGCUUGCGUUGGGGAUCCGCGGCUGCCCGCGGUCCCUCAAAAACAGUGGCGGGCUCGCUAGUCACACCGAGCGUAGUAACUCUACAUCGCUAUGGUCGUGCGGCGGGUUCUUGCCGUAAAACCCCCAAUUUCUAAGGUUGACCUCGGAUCGGGUAGGAAUACCCGCUGAACUUAAGC